CAGCUCACGGGUGGGUGUCCUUCCUAAGGGGCCAUGUCCUUUCUGCUGCAGCUCUCUCCCUAGCACAGCUCAGGGGGGUAGGUGUCCUUUCUAAGGGGCCCAUGUCCUUUCUGCUGCAGCUCUCUCCCUAGCACAGCUCAGGGGUGGGUGGCUGUUGGCAGUUGAAGGAUGGAACUAAGCAUGUG